AACGGUCCUAAGGUAGCGAAAUUCCUUGUCGGGUAAGUUCCGACCCGCAUGAAAGGCGUAAUGAUUUGGGCACUGUCUCAACGAGGGGCCCGGUGAAAUUGAAAUACCUGUGAAGAUGCAGGUUACCCGCGACUGGACAGAAAGACCCCAUGGAGCUUCACUGCAGCUUGAGAUUGAAUCCCGGUGACAGAUGCACAGGAUAGGUGGGAGGCGCCGAAGCAUUGCCCUAGGGCGGUGCGGAGCCGAUGUUGGGAUACCACCCUUCUGUUGCUGAGAUUCUAACGCGAGGAGUAACGACCCUGCGGACCCUCUCAGGCAGGCGGUUUGACUGGGGCGGUCGCCUCCGAAAGAGUAACGGAGGCGCCCAAAGGUUCCCUCAGGCCGGACAGAAACCGGCCGAAGAGUGCAAAGGCAGAAGGGAGCUUGACUGCGAGACCCACAAGUCGAGCAGAGACGAAAGUCGGGCUUAGUGAUCCGGUGGUACUGAGUGGAAAGGCCAUCGCUCAACGGAUAAAAGCUACCCUGGGGAUAACAGGCUAAUCUCUCCCAAGAGUUCAUAUCGACGGGGAGGUUUGGCACCUCGAUGUCGGCUCAUCACAUCCUGGGGCUGAAGUAGGUCCCAAGGGUAUGGCUGUUCGCCAUUUAAAGUGGUACGCGAGCUGGGUUUAGAACGUCGUGAGACAGUUCGGUCCCUAUCUGCCGUGGGCGCUGGAGAACUGAGGGGGGCUGCUCCUAGUACGAGAGGACCGGAGUGGACGCAUCACUGGUGUUCGGGUUGUCAUGCCAAUGGCACUGCCCGGUAGCUAAAUGCGGAAGAGAUAAGUGCUGAAAGCAUCUAAGCACGAAACUUGCCCCGAGAUGAGUUCUCCCUGACUCCUUGAGAGUCCUGAAGGAACGUUGAAGACGACGACGUUGAUAGGCCGGGUGUGUAAGCGCAGCGAUGCGUUGAGCUAACCGGUACUAAUGAACCGUGAGGCUUAACCUU
rnacentral:rRNA from 1 species